UUUUUUUCGAAAAGUGGAGAGCGGCGAAAGGGAGAGUAACGCGUAGAAACGUACCCCGAGGCCCGGAAUAGCGGUGAGAAAUCGCCGGUAAUGCCGGUUAACGUCUCUGGACCAAAGGUUUACCACCUGGGGAGCGGUCUGCGUUCUAUUAGCUUGUUGGUGGGGUAAAAGCCUACCAAGGCAAAGAUGGAUACCGGGCGUGAGAGCGUGACCCGGCUCACUGGGACUGAGACACUGCCCAGGCACCUACGGGUGGCUGCAGUCGAGAAUCUUCCGCAAUGGACGAAAGUCUGACGGAGCGACGCCGCGUGCUGGAUGAAGGCCUUCGGGUUGUAAACAGCUGUCAUAGGGGAGGAAAUUUUGACCGAUCCUAAGAGGAAGCACAGGCUAAGUUCGUGCCAGCAGCCGCGGUAACACGAACUGUGCGAACGUUAUUCGGAAUCACUGGGCUUAAAGGGUGCGUAGGCGGCCAAGUAGGUCAGAUGUGAAAGCCCACGGCUCGACUGUGGAAUUGCGUUUGAAACCACUUGGCUUGAGUAAGAUAGAGGUAAGCGGAACUGAUGGUGGAGCGGUGAAAUGCGUUGAUAUCAUCAGGAACACCGGUGGCGAAAGCGGCUUACUGGGUCUUUACUGACGCUGAGGCACGAAAGCUAGGGGAGCGAACGGGAUUAGAUACCCCGGUAGUCCUAGCUGUAAACGUUGAGCACUAGCUCGUGCCCCCUCCCACAAGGGCUCGGGCGUAGCGAAAGUGUUAAGUGCUCCGCCUGGGGGAGUAUGGUCCCAAGGCUGAAACUCAAAGGAAUUGACGGGGGCUCACACAAGCGGUGGGAGGAUGUGGCUUAAUUCGAGGCUACGCGAAGAACCUUACCUAGGCUUAACAUGGUUUGGGAAUCUCUAUGAAAAGUAGAGAGUGCCUUUCGGGGAACCCUUACGUAGGUGCUGCAUGGCUGUCGUCAGCUCGUGUCGUGAGAUGUCCGGGUUAAGUCCCUUAACGAGCGAAACCCUUAUCCCUAGUCGCCAG
rnacentral:rRNA from 1 species